GAUGAACGCUGGCGGCGUGCCUAAUACAUGCAAGUCGAGCGAACGGACGAGAAGCUUGCUUUUCUGAUGUUAGCGGCGGACGGGUGAGUAACACGUGGAUAACCUACCUAUAAGACUGGGAUAACUUCGGGAAACCGGAGCUAAUACCGGAUAAUAUUUUGAACCGCAUGGUUCAAAAGUGAAAGACGGUCUUGCUGUCACUUAUAGAUGGAUCCGCGCUGCAUUAGCUAGUUGGUAAGGUAACGGCUUACCAAGGCAACGAUGCAUAGCCGACCUGAGAGGGUGAUCGGCCACACUGGAACUGAGACACGGUCCAGACUCCUACGGGAGGCAGCAGUAGGGAAUCUUCCGCAAUGGGAGAAAGCAUGACGGAGCAACGCCGCGUGAGUGAUGAAGGUCUUCGGAUCGUAAAACUCUGUUAUUAGGGAAGAACAUAUGUGUAAGUAACUGUGCACAUCUUGACGGUACCUAAUCAGAAAGCCACGGCUAACUACGUG
rnacentral:rRNA from 1 species